UACGGAGGGUGCAAGCGUUAUCCGGAUUCACUGGGUUUAGAGGGAGCGCAGGCGGACAUGUAAGUCAGUGGUGAAAUACCUGAGCUUAACUCGGGAACUGCCAUUGAUACUAUGUGUCUUGAAUAUUGUUGAGGUUUGCGGAAUGGGUCAUGUAGCGGUGAAAUGCAUAGAUAUGACAUAGAACACCUAUUGCGAAGGCAGCUAACUACGCGAAUAUUGACGCUGAGGCACGAAAGCGUGGGGAUCAAACAGG
rnacentral:rRNA from 1 species